rnacentral:rRNA from 1 species
GGGGAAUUUUGGACAAUGGGGGCAACCCUGAUCCAGCCAUGCCGCGUGCGGGAAGAAGGCCUUCGGGUUGUAAACCGCUUUCGGACAGAAAGAAAUCGCAUGGGUUAAUACCCUGUGUGGAUGACGGUACUGUAAGAAGAAGCACCGGCUAACUACGUGCCAGCAGCCGCGGUAAUACGUAGGGUGCGAGCGUUAAUCGGAAUUACUGGGCGUAAAGCGUGCGCAGGCGGACAUUUAAGUCAGACGUGAAAUCCCCGGGCUUAACCUGGGAAUGGCGUUUGAAACUGGAUGUCUAGAGUACGGCAGAGGGGGGUGGAAUUCCACGUGUAGCAGUGAAAUGCGUAGAGAUGUGGAGGAACACCGAUGGCGAAGGCAGCCCCCUGGGCUAUUACUGACGCUCAUGCACGAAAGCGUGGGGAGCAAAC